AGCGGCGGCCCGGGAGCCAGGAGCGCCGCUGCCGUGAGGGCCCGGCCCGGCAGCCCCGGCCAAGCCGGGCCCGCAGUGCCCGCUUCUGAGGCUCGCAGAUAAAGAGGCUGUGCCGGGACCACUUCGCACACAGCAAUUAACAGGGAGAGACGGCACCGAGCAAAUGUUCCAACUGCACGUCCAGGAGGCUCCUGUGACAUUUCCCAAGUCCAGUUGCUGGAGCCUCAGGUUCGAUCAUCUGCUCAAGGUGCCAGCAGGGAUAAUUUGCCCCUUCAGCAGCAAUUAUGUUGGCCUCUGCAGCUCAUGGUAGAGGUACAUGUAAGACUGAAAUUUUCAAGCUUUCAGUGGCACGUGAAGUACAAAUACAAUUCCAGGAAUGCUGGCCAGUGGGAAAAGCACCACUUACACAGUUUUCUGUUUUAACAGGUGGGGAUGAGGAAGUGCUGGUGCUGUACCCACCUUGCCCUGGACCCAAGAUGAGCUGUGAGGAUCAUGCAUGUUGCUUUUUCCCAGAGCCUGAGACUGAACGCAUGGGAGCUGCAGGAUUGUGUGCCUUAUUCAGGGGAACACCUUCACAGCUGGAGAUUUUGUAUGUGAGGCUUCAUCAGAGGAUAAAAAUUGAUGCCUCCCAGCAUGUCUCCCACUCAUGUACUCUACAGCUGAGAGCUUCAUUGCUGGGUGACAUGGCAGAGAGCCUGGAAAGGGCAGAGCAUCCCUUCCCAGUGAUGGGGGCCACCCUGGGCAGCCCACAGCCACCACCAGCAGCUCGAGGUCUCGAGUUCACAGAGGAGGACAUGUCCUCCAGACAACUACUGCUUGUUGGUUAUGCAGAGCAGGAUGCAAUUCUGGGUGUGCUACCUUGGGAUUUCAGAACUUCAAAGAAUUACAUCUCUGCUUUUAAAUGUGUGGCAAAUCUCCACCCUGAUGCUUGUGGAAAGUACAUCUUCUAGUGGAAAGCUCCUGAGGAACAUCUGUCUCUCACUUUGGGUUGUUGAACACAGCUGUAAGAUCCCAUCCUCCUCCACUUCCCCUGAAGCUGUGUCUCCUCCAGGAUGAACAAACUCUCUGUCUCAGUAUCACCACACACACCAUGUGCUCUGACUCCCUCAGCGUCUUGGACAAUAACCAAACUGAACUCACUCCAACCAGCUGACCACUCUCUUGGUGGCCCAAAACUGGCCCCAGGGCUCCAGAUGUGAUCUCACAAGGACCAAAUGAAAAUGUUGUCCUCAGGCCUUUCUUGGUGUUGGUACCAGUAACUAGGAGGAACCAGCUGGGGAAAGAGAGAGGAGAGCAGAAGAUGUCCUGUGCUGGCUCUUGGUUUGUGACCACACAGAAAAAGGGCUCGUGCUGUGUCACACAAGAGAGACACCUCCACGGUACCUGCAAGUGUGACAUGGUGUAGCUCUGCCAGUGUCACUCUGUGCCCAAGAAAAGUCCUUACUUUGGAGAAUGGAGAUCCUUGCAGAUGUGCCUAGAUUGUCUCCAAGACCUCAAAGUUUGUUCUUGCAUGAAGAUCCAGCUCCUUGGAGGUGGAAUGCUGGGUCUCCUUGCCAUUUCCCAGGCAAGAUGUUUGUGACUAUCAAACCUUUGAGCUUUCACAUUUUAGAGCAAAUGCUUUAUAUUGUGAGAAUUUACUUUUUUGAGAAAUCACACAAAGCCCACACUGACUACUUGAUUACUUUGCUCUUCUGAUGACCACAAGGUUUGAUGCAACAUUUUGACAUACUCAGAGCUGUAUUUGUGCCUUCCUUUGGGUGACCUAGAGCUACACAGAGCAGCUCAGAUUUGUAACAUGCUUUCUAGUUGAGGGCAUGUAUUUAUUAUGGUACAACAAAUGAAUGAUUAAUAGUUGCCAUAGUGAUAAUGAGAACUUGGAGUCUUUGAGCACUACAGAGUCAGAUUCAAGCCUUGGCACAUCUUUGCUGCAAAGCAUUCAUGGCAGGGUCUUGAAAAUGGAGGCUCAGGAGCCAGCAUCACUUAGUAACACUUACAUCUUAAGGACAAAAAUAUUAAAAAAGUACAAUAUGCUUAUUGAGAAAUGAAAAAAAACCAAACCCAAACAAACAAAAAAAAAAAGUGGAAAAGACUCAGUUCAGGUUUUUUAUCGUAGGCAUUAAGUAUUUUCACAGAAUCUUCUUUUUUCUAUGUUUUUAAAAUUCCAUUGAAAGCUGUUGCUUUUUACUAUUAACCUUCCCUAUCUUCUUUCCCCUGGCACAACUUUGCUUACUGAAAUGUUACAUGGACAAAAUCUCUGCUUUCCAAGAUCCUGCCAAAGCUUCUCUUUAAUUCUAGGAAUACAGUAAUUUCUCCAUAAAUUUACUCACCAGCCACCAAUAAGAAGUUUUUUCAGGGAUACAGAUUUUCUCCCACUAUUAUCUCUUGAUAUUCUGUGAAGGAAAAUGGCAUUCAGGCAUCCAUGGGACACUGAGGUGUGUGAGGAGCUGCUGAAGAUUACAGCUGUUUGUUCAAGCUCAGGCUGGCACAAAGCCCUGUGUAUUGAGCAGCUUGUGCUGCACAGUGCAGGGGCCAAAGAGGAGCUUGUUAGUGAUGGCAGCUCGUGAAGUUAACCCUGGUGAUGUGUCCUGGAAGUCUCAAAGUGCUUCUCUAAAAAUGGCAAUGCAGGAGGAGCUUUGGCUUGGUUAUCCUCCACUGGAUCCUGUCACCUUUGCUGCAACAUUUACCCUGGAAUGAAGGAUCACCAGAAGUAUAGAUAAAACUCUGAGGGUCAGUGUGGCACAGCCCUUUGAUUCUGCAGGCUGUCUUCUGAAAUCAUCUCCAAAUCAGACUUUCAUAACCCACAGGGAAAAACAGAGAGCAAACUUAGUGGCCAUUAGCUACUACAAUAAUUAAUUAAAUGAGAGGGAAGGAUUCUGAAACCACUACAAGAACUAAUUAAAUGAGAGGGAAGGAUUCUGAAACCACUGAGACACACAUUGGCUUCUGGUACACCGAGAAAUUCCAGCUGAGAAUCUGCAAGAUGAGUCAACUGGUAUAUCCAGGAGAUCAGACAAAGAGCAAGGCAGGAGUUAUUGUGCCAAGCUAAAGAACAUGCACAAUCUUAUUUGACAUCAGUAUGCUGACAUUGCCCUCUGAGAUGAAGUAAAAGUGGUGAGAAACCUUCUCCUUGUGUUACUUCUGCAUCCCUCCACUCUCCUUGGGGCUUUUCCAGCUCUGAAGCAUCAGGAUUCUAUACUGUAAAAUUGAGGUAAAAUUGUUUUCCUUGCUUACUCAGGCUAUGGUUUUGGGAAUGUGAAGUUGCUGUCAGGUCUUUGGAGUAUUGAAGUCUUGAAGACACAUUCUGUGCCUGGGGAUACCAGCCAGUCCUCACCUCAACAACAGUAAAUUAGAGAAAAAAGAAUUACAUGCAAUGGGAUAAUUGAGGGACAACAAAGAGAAGUAAUUUUGGUGUUACCAGCAAGAAGCAAAGCAUUAAUUAUUAGCCAGUACUGCUCUGCAUGCAGAUACAGAGUGGAGAUUCAGUGCCAGCAGAUAUCUCCCAUCAACUGACACAGGCAUCAGGCACCCAAACAGCUUCAAGAUGUGUGAGUCUCUGUCACUAGCUAUUGCCAUACACCUGCCUUUACUUGGCCAAAAGUCUGAGGGUUGCUCCAGUACUGGCACAGCCUCAGUCACUGUGAUCUCAUGAGACCCACGUGUGUAGAAUCCUGAUCCACAGCCCACGUGUGCUGCACAGGUGGAUUGCGAUGUUGUCUUUGCCACGUGAGGUGGUCUUGUGGUCUGCCAUUCUAGUUAGUCCCUCAGACAGGCAGGAAUGGAUGUUUGUAGUGGUAAAAUGUUGUAUGUGAGAGAAUUGUCCUCUAAUGAUGGGUUUCUCCCAAACCAACAUUUGGUAACUCACAGUUCCCUUGGGUUGGACACAGCAUGCAGCCCAACCUGCUGUAGCUCAACUUCAUCUGCAGCCACAGUGGGUCAAGGCUGGAUGUUAGGAAAAAUGUCUUCACUGAAAGAGUGGUUAAACACUGGAACAGGUUUUUUGGGGAAAUGGUGAAAUCACCAUCCCUGAAUGUGUUAAAAAGCUGAGUAGUUAUGUCCCUUCACAGUAUGUUUUGGUGGGCAUGGUGUAUUCAGUUGAAGAUUGGACUUGACGAUCUUGGAGGUCUUUUCCCACCUUAAUGAUUCUAUGAUUGUAUGAAAAUAAUCCUGACACACAUAAAGAAAAAGUGUGCAUGCUAUUCCUGAGCUGUAAAAUUUUUCAAAAAAGGGCAAAAUGACCGCUUCAGUGAGAAGGUUUUUGAACAAAUUUUUGUUCAAUUAGCACAACUUGAUUUAUUGCUGGCUGAACCCUCAAACAGCCUGUAAUUACAGACCCACAACUGCAAAGUAGGAAGAUUAUGAAGGUUAAACAUAUCAAGUCUUUGCAUGAGAAGGAAGUGAUCAAUGAGAAAAAAAAAAAAAGGAGAGUUAA